rnacentral:rRNA from 1 species
AAGAAAGUAAAUAAGGGCGCAUGGCGGAUGCCUUGGCUCUCGGAGGCGAUGAAGGACGUGAUAAGCUGCGAUAAGCUUCGGGUAGGUGCAAAUGACCUUUGAUCCGAAGAUUUCCGAAUGGGACAACCCGGCAUUCUGAAGGAAUGUCAUCCAAC